GACUACACGAAGCUGGAAUCGCUAGUAAUCGCGGAUCAGAAUGCCGCGGUGAAUACGUUCCCGGGUCUUGUACACACCGCCCGUCACACCAUGGGAGUCGGUAACGCCCGAAGCCAGUGACCCAACCUUAGGGAGGGAGCUGUCGAAGGCGGGACGGAUAACUGGGGUGAAGUCGUAACAAGGUAAC
rnacentral:rRNA from 1 species